rnacentral:rRNA from 1 species
GUUGUAUAGUCAAGUAAUUAAGUGCAUGUGGUGGAUGCCUUGGCAGUCAGAGGCGAUGAAAGACGUGAUAGCCUGCGAAAAGCUCCGGGGAGGCGGCAAAUAUCCUUUGAUCCGGAGAUGUCUGAAUGGGGGAACCCACCUACUUUAAGGUAGGUAUUGCAACAUGAAUACAUAGUGUUGCAAGGCGAACGAGGGGAAGUGAAACAUCUCAGUACCCUUAGGAAAAGAAAUCAAUUGAGAUUCCCUCAGUAGCGGCGAGCGAACGGGGAUCAGCCCAUUAAGUUAUGUGUGUUUUAGUGGAACGCUCUGGGAAGUGCGAACGUAGAGGGUGAUAUUCCCGUACACGAAAGGGCACACAUAAUGAUGACGAGUAGGGCGAGGCACGUGAAACCUUGUCUGAAUAUGGGGGGACCAUCCUCCAAGGCUAAAUACUCCUGACUGACCGAUAGUGAACCAGUACCGUGAGGGAAAGGCGAAAAGAACCCCUGUGAGGGGAGUGAAAUAGAUCCUGAAACCGCAUGCAUACAAGCAGUGGGAGCACCUUCGUGGUGUGACUGCGUACCUUUUGUAUAAUGGGUCAGCGACUUAUAUUCAGUAGCGAGGUUAACCGUAUAGGGGAGCCGUAGAGAAAUCGAGUCUUAAUAGGGCGUUUAGUUGCUGGGUAUAGACCCGAAACCAGGCGAUCUAUCCAUGAGCAGGUUGAAGGUUGGGUAACACUAACUGGAGGACCGAACCCACUGUCGUUGAAAAGCCAGGGGAUGACUUGUGGAUAGGGGUGAAAGGCUAAUCAAGCCUGGUGAUAGCUGGUUCUCCCCGAAAGCUAUUUAGGUAGCGCCUCGGACGAAUACCAUAGGGGGUAGAGCACUGUUUCGGCUAGGGGGUCAUCCCGACUUACCAAACCGAUGCAAACUCCGAAUACCUAUGAGUACUAUCCGGGAGACAGACUGCGGGUGCUAACGUCCGUAGUCAAGAGGAAAACAAUCCAGACCGCCAGCUAAGGCCCCAAAAUCAUAGUUAAGUGGGAAACGAUGUGGGAAGGCAUAGACAGCUAGGAGGUUGGCUUANNNNNNNNNNNNNNNNNNNNNNNNNNNNNNNNNNNNNNNGAAGCAGCCACCCUUUAAAGAAAGCGUAAUAGCUCACUAGUCGAGUCGGCCUGCGCGGAAGAUGUAACGGGGCUAAAACUAUGUGCCGAAGCUGCGGAUGUAUACUUUGUAUACGUGGUAGGGGAGCGUUCUGUAAGCCGAUGAAGGUGUGUUGAGAAGCNNNNNNNNNNNNNNNNNNNNNNAUGCUGGAGGUAUCAGAAGUGCGAAUGCUGACGUGAGUAACGACAAAACGGGUGAAAAACCCGUUCGCCGAAAGACCAAGGGUUCCAGUCCAACGUUAAUCGGGGCUGGGUGAGUCGACCCCUAAGGCGAGGCCGAAAGGCGUAGUCGAUGGGAAAAUGGUUAAUAUUCCAUUACUUCUGUGUAAUGCGAUGAGAGGACGGAGAAGGCUAAAUCAGCCUGGCGUUGGUUGUCCAGGUGAAAGGAUGUAGGCAUGUAUCUUAGGCAAAUCCGGGGUACUCUAUGCUGAGAUCUGAUAGCAAGCUGUACUUGUACAGCGAAGUGGUUGAUGCCAUGCUUCCAGGAAAAGUCUCUAAGCUUCAGUUACACAGGAAUCGUACCCGAAACCGACACAGGUGGUCAGGUCGAGUAGACCAAGGCGCUUGAGAGAACUCUGCUGAAGGAACUAGGCAAAAUGGUACCGUAACUUCGGGAGAAGGUACGCUGUUGUUGGUGAUGGAACUCGCUUCCUGAGCUGACGACAGCCGCAGAAACCAGGCCGCUGCAACUGUUUAUUAAAAACAUAGCACUCUGCAAACACGAAAGUGGACGUAUAGGGUGUGAUGCCUGCCCGGUGCUGGAAGGUUAAUUGAUGGGGUUAGCGUAAGCGAAGCUCUUGAUCGAAGCCCCAGUAAACGGCGGCCGUAACUAUAACGGUCCUAAGGUAGCGAAAUUCCUUGUCGGGUAAGUUCCGACCUGCACGAAUGGCAUAAUGAUGGCGGCGCUGUCUCCAGCAGAGGCUCAGUGAAAUCGAAAUCGCUGUGAAGAUGCAGUGUACCCGCGGCUAGACGGAAAGACCCCGUGAACCUUUACUGCAGCUUGACACUGAACUUUGACCUUACUUGUGUAGGAUAGGUGGGAGGCUUUGAAGCUGGAACGCUAGUUCCAGUGGAGCCGUCCUUGAAAUACCACCCUGGUAAUGUUGAGGUUCUAACUCUGUCCCGUGAUCCGGGACGAGGACCGUGUCUGGUGGGUAGUUUGACUGGGGCGGUCUCCUCCUAAAGAGUAACGGAGGAGUACGAAGGUGCGCUCAGCGUGGUCGGAAAUCACGCGUAGAGUAUAAAGGCAAAAGCGCGCUUAACUGCGAGACCCACAAGUCGAGCAGGUACGAAAGUAGGUCUUAGUGAUCCGGUGGUUCUGUAUGGAAGGGCCAUCGCUCAACGGAUAAAAGGUACUCUGGGGAUAACAGGCUGAUACCGCCCAAGAGUUCAUAUCGACGGCGGUGUUUGGCACCUCGAUGUCGGCUCAUCUCAUCCUGGGGCUGAAGCAGGUCCCAAGGGUAUGGCUGUUCGCCAUUUAAAGAGGUACGCGAGCUGGGUUUAGAACGUCGUGAGACAGUUCGGUCCCUAUCUACCGUGGGCGCUGGAAAUUUGAGAGGAUCUGCUCCUAGUACGAGAGGACCAGAGUGGACGAACCUCUGGUGUACCGGUUGUGACGCCAGUCGCAUCGCCGGGUAGCUAUGUUCGGAAGGGAUAACCGCUGAAAGCAUCUAAGCGGGAAGCCUACCUCAAGAUAAGAUUUCCCUAGGACUUUAUGUCCUCUAAAGAGCCGUUCGAGACUAGGACGUUGAUAGGUUGGAUGUGGAAGCAUAGUGAUAUGUGAAGCUGACCAAUACUAAUUGCUCGUGAGGCUUGACUAUACAACACCCAAGCAGUUG